GGACUACUCGGGUUUCUAAUCCUGUUUGCUCCCCACGCUUUCGCGUCUCAGCGUCAGUACCGUCCCAGCGAGCUGCCUUCGCCAUUGGUGUUCCUCCUGAUAUCUGCGCAUUUCACCGCUACACCAGGAAUUCCACUCGCCCCUUCCGGACUCUAGCCUCACAGUAUCCACCGGCAUCCCAGGGUUGAGCCCUGGACUUUCACAGCGGACUGAUGAGGCCGCCUACACGCUCUUUACGCCCAAUGAUUCCGGACAACGCUUGCACCCUACGUAUUACCGCGGCGGCUGGCAC
rnacentral:rRNA from 1 species